rnacentral:rRNA from 1 species
UACAGAGGGGGCAAGCGUUGUUCGGAAUUACUGGGCGUAAAGGGCGCGUAGGCGGCCCGCUAAGUCGAACGUGAAAUCCCCGAGCUCAACUCGGGAACUGCGUCCGAUACUGGCGGGCUUGAAUCCGGGAGAGGGAUGCGGAAUUCCAGGUGUAGCGGUGAAAUGCGUAGAUAUCAGGAGGAACACCUGCGGUGUAGACGGCUUACUGGACCAUAACUGACGCUGAGGCACGAAAGCGUGGGUAGCAAACAGG